rnacentral:rRNA from 1 species
CCUACGGGAGGCAGCAGUGGGGAAUAUUGGACAAUGGGCGCAAGCCUGAUCCAGCCAUGCCGCGUGAGUGAUGAAGGCCUUCGGGUUGUAAAGCUCUUUUGGCGGGGACGAUAGUGACGGUACCCGCAGGAUAAGCCCCGGCUAACUUCGUGCCAGCAGCCGCGGUAAUACGAAGGGGGCUAGCGUUGUUCGGAAUCACUGGGCGUAAAGCGCACGUAGGCGGAUCUAUAAGUCAGGGGUGAAAUCCCGGGGCUCAACCUCGGAACUGCCUUUGAUACUGUGGGUCUUGAGUUCGAUAGAGGUGAGUGGAAUUCCUAGUGUAGAGGUGAAAUUCGUAGAUAUUAGGAAGAACACCGGUGGCGAAGGCGGCUCACUGGAUCGAUACUGACGCUGAGGUGCGAAAGCUGGGGAGCAAACAGGAUUAGAUACCCUGGUAGUCCACGCCGUAAACUAUGG